AGGUAAGCUACUAAGAGCGAAUGGUGGAUGCCUUGACUGGUAAAGGCGAUGAAGGACGUACUAGACUGCGAUAAGCUACGGGGAGCUGUCAAGAAGCUUUGAUCCGUAGAUUUCCGAAUGGGGCAACCCAAUGUAUAGAGAUAUACAUUACCUAUAUAGGAGCGAACGAGGGGAAUUGAAACAUCUUAGUACCCUCAGGAAAAGAAAUCAAUAGAGAUUGCGUCAGUAGCGGCGAGCGAAAGCGCAAGAGGGCAAACCCAGUGCUUGCACUGGGGGUUGUAGGACUGCAAUGUGCAAGAGGUAAGUUUAGCAGAACAUUCUGGAAAGUAUAACCAUAGAGGGUGAUAGUCCCGUAUGCGAAAAACAAACCUUAGCUAGCAGUAUCCUGAGUAGGGCGGGACACGAGGAAUCCUGUCUGAAUCCGGGUCGACCACGAUCCAACCCUAAAUACUAAUACCAGAUCGAUAGUGCACAAGUACCGUGAGGGAAAGGUGAAAAGAACUGAGGUGAUCAGAGUGAAAUAGAACCUGAAACCAUUUGCUUACAAUCAUUCAGAGCCCUAUGUAGCAAUACAGGGUGAUGGACUGCCUUUUGCAUAAUGAGCCUGCGAGUUGUGGUGUCUGGCAAGGUUAAGCAAACGCGAAGCCGUAGCGAAAGCGAGUCUGAAUAGGGCGCUUAGUCAGAUGCUGCAGACCCGAAACGAAGUGAUCUAUCCAUGAGCAAGUUGAAGCUAGUGUAAGAACUAGUGGAGGACUGAACCCAUAGGCGUUGAAAAGCCCCGGGAUGACUUGUGGAUAGGGGUGAAAGGCCAAUCAAACUUCGUGAUAGCUGGUUCUCUCCGAAAUAUAUUUAGGUAUAGCGUUGUGUCGUAAUAUAAGGGGGUAGAGCACUGAAUGGGCUAGGGCAUACACCAAUGUACCAAACCCUAUCAAACUCCGAAUACCUUAUAUGUAAUCACAGCAGUCAGGCGGCGAGUGAUAAAAUCCGUCGUCAAGAGGGAAACAACCCAGACUACCAGCUAAGGUCCCUAAAUCUUACUUAAGUGGAAAACGAUGUGAAGUUACUUAAACAACCAGGAGGUUGGCUUAGAAGCAGCCAUCCUUUAAAGAAAGCGUAAUAGCUCACUGGUCUAGUGAUUUUGCGCGGAAAAUAUAACGGGGCUAAAGUAAGUACCGAAGCUGUAGACUUAGUUUACUAAGUGGUAGGAGAGCGUUCUAUUUGCGUCGAAGGUAUACCGGUAAGGAGUGCUGGAGCGAAUAGAAGUGAGCAUGCAGGCAUGAGUAGCGAUAAUUAAUGUGAGAAUCAUUAACGCCGUAAACCCAAGGUUUCCUACGCGAUGCUCGUCAUCGUAGGGUUAGUCGGGUCCUAAGUCGAGUCCGAAAGGGGUAGACGAUGGCAAAUUGGUUAAUAUUCCAAUACCAACAUUAGUGUGCGAUGGAAGGACGCUUAGGGCUAAGGGGGCUAGCGGAUGGAAGUGCUAGUCUAAGGUCGUAGGAGGUUAUACAGGCAAAUCCGUAUAACAAUACUCCGAGAACUGAAAGGCUUUUUGAAGUCUUCGGAUGGAUAGAAGAACCCCUGAUGCCGUCGAGCCAAGAAAAGUUUCUAAGUUUAGCUAAUGUUGCCCGUACCGUAAACC
rnacentral:rRNA from 1 species